rnacentral:rRNA from 1 species
GACGAACGCUGGCGGCGUGCUUAACACAUGCAAGUCGAACGGAAAGGCCCUGCUUUUGUGGGGUGCUCGAGUGGCGAACGGGUGAGUAACACGUGAGUAACCUGCCCUUGACUUUGGGAUAACUUCAGGAAACUGGGGCUAAUACCGGAUAGGAGCUCCUGCUGCAUGGUGGUGGUUGGAAAGUUUCGGCGGUUGGGGAUGGACUCGCGGCUUAUCAGCUUGUUGGUGGGGUAGUGGCUUACCAAGGCUUUGACGGGUAGCCGGCCUGAGAGGGUGACCGGCCACAUUGGGACUGAGAUACGGCCCAGACUCCUACGGGAGGCAGCAGUGGGGAAUAUUGCACAAUGGGCGGAAGCCUGAUGCAGCAACGCCGCGUGCGGAAUGACGGCCUUCGGGUUGUAAACCGCUUUCGCCUGUGACGAAGCGUGAGUGACGGUAAUGGAUAAAGAAGCACCGGCUAACUACGUG